rnacentral:rRNA from 1 species
UACGAAGGGGGCUAGCGUUGUUCGGAAUUACUGGGCGUAAAGGGCGCGUAGGCGGCCGAUUAAGUUAGAUGUGAAAGUCCUGGGCUCAACCUGGGGACUGCAUUUAAUACUGGUUGGCUUGAAUUCGGGAGAGGAUAGCGGAAUUCCCAGUGUAGAGGUGAAAUUCGUAGAUAUUGGGAAGAACACCGGUGGCGAAGGCGGCUAUCUGGACCGACAUUGACGCUGAGGCGCGAAAGCGUGGGGAUCAAACAGG